UACGUAGGCAGCGAGCGUUGUUCGGAAUUACUGGGCGUAAAGAGUGUGUAGGCGGUGCUCUAAGUUCGGUGUGAAAUCUCCCGGCUUAACUGGGAGGGUGCGCCGGAAACUGGAGUGCUCGAGCGUGGGAGAGGAAAGCGGAAUUCCUGGUGUAGCGGUGAAACGCGUAGAUAUCAGGAGGAACACCUGCGGUGUAGACGGCUUUCUGGACCAUUGCUGACGCUGAGACGCGAAAGCGUGGGGAGCAAACAGG
rnacentral:rRNA from 1 species